rnacentral:lncRNA from 1 species
GCUUAUGCUAUCGAUUUCAUCUACUAUUUUAUUCAAACGUUGAGACCAAGACGCCUUAUUUUAGAUCCUUCUUGCUUAGUUUUUAGUAGAAUUGCACCAUACCAAGGGCAUUGUGAAAAGUACAAGUGCACCAUUCCAAGCUGCAUGGUGCAUGGUGCAUGGUGGAAGUGCGCCAUAGGAAGCUGCAUAAUGAAUGGUGCAAAUGGAAUAUACUAAUGUGCAUCAUGUGUGGUUCAUUG